ACCCAAAGCAUUUAGUCAGGAUGAUGAAGCUUUUUUUUUAUAUCCACUUCAUCGUCUGUUACGUCUUUGGAAGAAUAAUACAGUUCGUCCCGUGUUCCCAGUGGCUUUAUGUCAUUGGAUCUUGUACCGUUUUGGUACGAGAUUUUAGUUCACAUUUUAGAGUUGGAUAGUUUUUAUCCGACUCGCUUUAGAACUGUCACGGAAUCUUUUUUUGAGUAGAAAUUAAUCCUUUGUGCUUUAAUUUUAUAUUAAAGUAACAUAUUCAAUGAUUUAUUUCAUAGUAUAGAGGCCGACAUCC
rnacentral:snoRNA from 1 species